rnacentral:RNase_P_RNA from 1 species
UGAGCCGGCCGGGUGGCCGCGGCCCAGCUGCUUCGGCGGCCGGGCUGAGGAAGGUCGGGGCUCCGCAGGGCAGGGUGCUGGCUAGCGGCCAGUCGGGGUGACCCGCAGGAAAGUGCCACAGAGAACAAACCGCCGAUGGCGGCUCGGGAGACCGGGCGGCACAGGCAAGGGUGAAACGGUGCGGCAAGAGCGCACCAGCGCCCGGGGUGACCCGGGCGGCUCGGCAAACCCCACCCGGAGCAAGGCCAAGCGUGGGACGGGCGGCCCGCCCUAUGUCCCCAGGUAGGCCGCACAGAUGGAUGGCCACCCAGGCGCUUCGGCGCUGGACAGAACCCCGCCUACAGGCCGGCUCACCGU